AUGGCGGCGCUCGGCGGCAUGCUGGCCGCUGCCAUCCUCAAGGUGGUGGGCGACCAGGUUGGUUCUCUGAUUGGAGGUCAGAUCGCACUACAGAUGAAUUUGGACAAGGACCUCAAGAAGAUGAAGAUGGCGCUGGAGUCUGUCGAGGCAGUGCUCAAGGUCACGGAGAGGCGGUCCAUCACCGACGAACUGACGUGUCUUUGGCUGAAGCGGCUCAAGGACUUCUUGUAUGAGGUCUCUGACAUGAUUGAUGAGUUCGAAGCAGACACACAAGCCAUCACCCAGCCAUCUACGCGCAAGGUACGCAUUUAUGCAGAAUAA
rnacentral:rRNA from 1 species